UACAGAGGGUGCAAGCGUUAAUCGGAAUUACUGGGCGUAAAGCGUGCGUAGACGGUAGCGUAAGUCGGGUGUGAAAGCCCCGGGCUCAACCUGGGAAUUGCAUUUGAGACUGCGUAGCUAGGGUGCGGAAGAGGGAAGCGGAAUUUCCGGUGUAGCGGUGAAAUGCGUAGAUAUCGGAAGGAACACCAGUGGCGAAAGCGGCUUCCUGGUCCAGCACCGACGUUCAGGCACGAAAGCGUGGGGAGCAAACAGG
rnacentral:rRNA from 1 species